GCUUCAUGAUUUGGGCAUUGAGCAAUCUUACCGUUAAACCUCUCCCAAGUUUCAAAUAACGAUUCUCCAUUCAUUUGUCAAAAAUUCACAAUCUUGUCCCACUUUUAAAGC
rnacentral:snoRNA from 1 species